AAGCGUUAAGUUAUCCACCUGGGGAGUACGGUCGCAAGAUUGAAACUCAAAGGAAUUGACGGGGGCCCGCACAAGCGGAGGAGCAUGUGGUUUAAUUCGAUGAUACGCGAGGAACCUUACCCGGGCUUGAAAGUUAGUGAAUGAUCCAGAGACGGAUCAGUCCUUCGGGACACGAAACUAGGUGCUGCAUGGCUGUCGUCAGCUCGUGCCGUGAGGUGUUGGGUUAAGUCCCGCAACGAGCGCAACCCCUAUGUUUAGUUGCCAGCACAUUAAGGUGGGGACUCUAAACAGACUGCCAGCGUAAGCUGUGAGGAAGGUGGGGACGACGUCAAGUCAUCAUGGCCCUUACGUCCGGGGCUACACACGUGCUACAAUGGACGGUACAGCGGGCAGCUACAUAGCAAUAUGAUGCUAAUCUCUAAAAGCCGUUCACAGUUCGGAUUGAGGUCUGCAACUCGACCUCAUGAAGUUGGAUUCGCUAGUAAUCGCGUAUCAGCAAUGACGCGGUGAAUACGUUCCCGGGCCUUGUACACACCGCCCGUCAAGCCAUGAAAGUUGGGGGUACCUAAAGCAUGUAACCGCAAGGAGCG
rnacentral:rRNA from 1 species